rnacentral:rRNA from 1 species
GUGCCAGCAGCCGCGGUAAUACGGAGGGUGCAAGCGUUAAUCGGAAUUACUGGGCGUAAAGCGUGCGCAGGCGGCUGAUUAAGUCAAAUGUGAAAGCCCCGGGCUCAACCUGGGAAUGGCAUUCGAUACUGGUCAGCUAGAGUUUGGUAGAGGUAAGCGGAAUUCCGGGUGUAGCGGUGAAAUGCGUAGAUAUCCGGAGGAACAUCAGUGGCGAAGGCGGCUUACUGGACCAAAACUGACGCUCAGGCACGAAAGCGUGGGUAGCAAACAGGAUUAGAUACCCUGGUAGUCCACGCCCUAAACUAUGUCAACUAGCCGUUGGGUCCCCUUAAUAGGACUUAGUGGCGAAGCUAACGCGUUAAGUUGACCGCCUGGGGAGUACGGCCGCAAGGUUGAAACUCAAGGAAUUGACGGGGGCCCGCACAAGCGGUGGAGAUGUGGGUUAAUUCGAUGCAACGCGAAGAACCUUACCAGCCCUUGACAUCCUCGGAACUUGGGUAAGAUACUUUGGUGCCUUCGGGAACCGAGUGACAGGUGCUGCAUGGCUGUCGUCGCUCGUGUCGUGAGAUGUUGGGUUAAGUCCCGCAACGAGCGCAACCCUUACCCUUAGUUGCCAGCGCGUAAUGGCGGGAACUCU